rnacentral:lncRNA from 1 species
AUAUAUAUAUAUAUACGUAUGUACGUACGUACUUACUUACGUAUAUACCUAUCAUAUGUACCAGCCCCUCCCGCCAGUCCAAUAUAAUGAACACCUUUUCAAACCCAUCAGGCAAUUACCGAAAUAAAACUUUAAAUGUAUCCCAAAAAUGCGUAAACAUAAAAUAUGAAUUACAUUCGUUUGAAAGCGAAGCAUCUGUUUUUUGCCCAACAUGCAAUCUACCAUUUCAAUCAAAAAUUCGUAUAAACCCGUGUUAUCAUAUAAUUUGUAAUAAAUGCUAUGAGCAGAGUGUACUCCAACAUAGUUGUUUAGUUUGUAACAGCGACAUAAAUGAUAUAGACUGUAUUUUUAUAAAUGAAACUAUUUUUGUAUGUCCAUAUAUGAACUGUAAAAAAGGAUAUAUAAAUAAAAAGAGUUUCAACUAUCACAUUUAUUUUAAACAUAAACUUAUGCAAAAAAAUGUUUUACCAAUUAGUAGUAAUACAAAAAACAACUUAAAUGUAAAUAAUGAGAGUAGCAUUGGUAAUAUGAAUAUAAAUAUUAUUACGACUAACUCUGCAAGUAAUUCUUUUUCUGCUCAACAAAGUAAAGAUGGCUUAUUAAUUAAUAAUCAAAAAUUAGCAAUAUCAUAUAAUGCUUAUCCUGGUAAUACGUACACUAGUGCUGCCUACACCACUAGCGGUGGUAUUAACUACGGAUAUUCAGAUAACAUAUACAAUAAAAUUACUACAGAAGAGUAUAACCAUCAAAAUGAUAUAAAAAAUAAAGGAUUACUAAAAACUACUAACAUAAGUACUAAUGUUCAUGUAGGAGAUAUAAGUAGUAAUAUGUUUGCAAACAACGUAAGAAAUGUAUUAGAAGAUAAUAAUAUAAAUAAUAAUAAUAAUAUACUUUCGAAUAUUAAUUAUAAUGUUACAAUUAAUAAAAAUGAAUUAACAGAAGCUCAAAAAUAUAUUGCUACUAAUGACUUUUAUCUUAAUAAUAUGCAAAAUACAAAUAACAAAAACUUUAUGUUUGACAAUAGUACUGCUACAGGUAAUAUCCCUAUGAGUAGCUCAAAUAUAAACCAACAACUACCCACUAUAGACAAAUGGAAAUAUACGUCUAUUCCAUUUAAGCCUGACACUAAUGCUUUUUCU